CCGAGUGAGGGCCCUCUGGGUCCAACCUCCCACCCGUGUUUAUUUACCUUGUUGCUUCGGCGAGCCUGCCUUUUGGCUGCCGGGGGACGUCAGUCCCCGGGUCCGUGCUCGCCGGAGACACCUUAGAACUCUGUCUGAAGAUUGUAGUCUGAGAUUAAAUAUAAAUUAUUUA
rnacentral:misc_RNA from 1 species